rfam:Picea glauca, whole genome shotgun sequence.
ACAUGCCUACAACAUAGCGUUAAUGCAUUGAAUCCCAUUAGAACUCUGUAAUUAAGAGCGCUUAGGCUAGAGUAGUACUGGGAUGGGUGACCGACUGGGAAGUCAUAGUGUUUCACAUGCC